GACGGAGGGUGCGAGCGUUAUUCGGAAUCAUUGGGCGUAAAGAGUGUGUAGGCGGCCGGUUAAGUCAGGCGUGAAAGCCCAGGGCUCAACCCUGGAAGUGCGUUUGAAACUGGCUGGCUUGAGUUCGGGAGAGGGAAGCGGAAUUCCUGGUGUAGAGGUGAAAUUCGUAGAUAUCAGGAGGAACAUCGGUGGCGAAGGCGGCUUCCUGGACCGAAACUGACGCUGAGGCGCGAAAGCUAGGGGAGCAAACGGG
rnacentral:rRNA from 1 species